UAUGGUGGCAAUAGCGAAGAGGUCACACCCGUUCCCAUACCGAACACGGAAGUUAAGCUCUUCAGCGCCGAUGGUAGUUGGGGGCUUCCCCCUGUGAGAGUAGGACGUCGCCGUGC
rfam:Bacillus coahuilensis p1.1.43 ABFP000047, whole genome shotgun sequence.